AUUCAACUGAUAAGUCCCGAAUAGAACGAAACACGCGUCCUGGAU
rfam:Schistosoma margrebowiei strain Zambia genome assembly, scaffold: SMRZ_contig0000057